UGGAUAUAAUUAAUUUUUGAUCUCUUAUAAGAUCAUCUUAACUAUUAUCAUUAACUUGAAUGAACCGAUUCGACAAAAAAAACAUUGAUCGAGUCAAUUUGGAUAAACGUUUUGUUCACUUGUGCCAAUAAACAAAAGAAAGCAAGACAAUAAAAUCAGCUAAUGAAAUUGACUAAUUGAGAUGUCAUCCAUUUGCCUAUGGAAUCAAGGAAUAAAGCGUGAAAGAAACCGAAUGAAGGAAAAUUACCAACAAUUGGCUUGCUGGCCCAAGAAAUGAGCUUGAGCAUGGCUGUACUUGGCAUUGCAGAAGAAAACAUUAUUGCCUAAAGUGCAAACAUGGUCCCGUUAGGUUCCUAGCAGGUUUUGAGUAGGCAUCCUUGUGCAUUUGAACAUAGAUUAUGGUUUGAAUAUCGUUAGGGAUGAAGUAGACCCUAAAUGACAUAUUUUGUGCCACAUGGUCGUGUGUCACACACGGGUUAGUGACAUGACCGUAUGCGACUGAAAUAUGGGCCGUAUAGGAAACACACAAUUUCCAACGGAUACACAAGUUGGCCACACGCUUGUGUGACUACUAUAGAUAUGGUCAUGUAGUUUUUACAUAGCCUCAAUUUGUUACACGGUCUAACGAUACGGUUGUGUGACUUUUGUUGAAUAAUUGUAUUUUUGACCCACACUACCAUAGUGAGUUACACAGUUUGGAUACACGGCCGUGUGACUCCAAUUUCAUACGAUUACAGCAUGCCACAUGGCCUGAGCACACGAUUGUGUGACCCAUGUUUUGCACAACUGCUAUUCUUUUUAUAAAAGUUUCAAAAUGAUUAUUGUUUGAUGUUAGGUCAAUUCUAGAGCUUUCGUAAGCUCAAUUUGAACCUGAUUUUGUUUGCAAAGAUUUAUGUGGAUGUAUGCAGUUAUUCAAUAUUUAAUUAAAAUUUUUAUUUAUGAA